rnacentral:rRNA from 1 species
CGGGGAACCCGCACAAGCGGUGGAUGAUGUGGAUUAAUUCGAUGCAACGCGAAAACCUUACCUACCCUUGACAUGUCCGGAAUCCUGCAGAGAUGCGGGAGUGCCCGAAAGGGAAUCGGAACACAGGUGCUGCAUGGCUGUCGUCAGCUCGUGUCGUGAGAUGUUCGGUUAAGUCCGCUAACGAGCGCAACCCUCGUCGUAUGUUAUAUGUGUCAUACGAGACUGCCGGUAAAAGCCGGAGGAAGGUGAGGAUGAUGUCAAGUCAGCAUGACCUUUAUAUCCAGGGCUACACACACGCUACAAUGGUCUGUACAAUGGGUAGCCAAGCCGCGAGGCGGAGCCAAUCCUGAAAGCAGGCCUCAGUUCAGAUUGCAGUCUGCAACUCGACUGCAUGAAGCCGGAGUUGCUAGUAACCGCAGGUCAGCAAUACUGCGGUGAAUACGUUCCCGGGUCUU